GAAAUGCGAUAACUAGUGUGAAUUGCAGAAUUCCGUGAAUCAUCGAGUCUUUGAACGCACAUUGCGCCCCCUGGUAUUCCGGGGGGCAUGCCUGUCCGAGCGUCAUUGCUGCCCAUCAAGCACGGCUUGUGUGUUGGGUCGUCGUCCCCUCUCCGGGGGGGACGGGCCCCAAAGGCAGCGGCGGCACCGCGUCCGAUCCUCGAGCGUAUGGGGCUUUGUCACCCGCUCUGUAGGCCCGGCCGGCGCUUGCCGAACGCAAAUCAAUCUUUUUCCAGGUUGACCUCGGAUCAGGUAGGGAUACCCGCUGAACUUACGC
rnacentral:misc_RNA from 1 species